rnacentral:hammerhead_ribozyme from 1 species
AUCCAGCUGAGGAGUCUCAAACAGGACGAAACGCGCGUCCUGGUU